CUGAAAAUAUACAACCCACAAGCCAGGAGAGAAAGGCAUUGUCAGAAGCAAACAUGCCGCCACCUUCGUCUGGUUGAACAGGACAUGGUCACAUCGAUGAAAAUAAACACCACCUAUAAAUAUGUUAGUUCUCUGCUGGUUUUAGUCUACAUUUGACACUCACGUGUAUUCCAGGAUAGCUCCGCUCAUUUUUUUACAAAAGAGUGACAAAGCAAAGAUGAAGAGAGGCCAGAAAAUUAAACUGGUGACCGAACGAUCUGGCAAGUGGCCAAGUGAAUAGAGAGUCCAAAAUGAAAGCAGAAGAGAAAAACAACAACAAACGCUGGAAGGGUGAUCUGGUGGACGUCUAUUAAACUAUUACAGAUGUGGACCGAAUCACUCUGUACUGGUUCCACAGAUCUCAAGUAGCAGCCCUGAACACAUCACCCUGAAUUCUAAAGGCGGAAAUAGGAAUAAUCAAGUACACACUGAUGUCUAAUAGACAAAGCGACAACUCAUCGGGACCGAGCUUUCUUUCCUCUGAUUCACAACAGUCCUGAAAUUAAGAUUUAAAGAACCUCACUGAGGUUGCAGAGCUGGCCUAUCUGAACAUAAAUAAUAAGACCUAACACCUGUUGGGCUUUUACCAUAUGCUAGAUAUUUUGCUGAGCAUUUUUGUCCCUUAUUUUGCCCCCUAAUUCUUUGAACCCUUACUAUCUGUUUUAUACUGUGAGGAAGCUUACUCUUAUAAACGUCCAUGUGAAUGUCUCCAAAUUACACAGCUAGUGAGUAAUGGAAGGAAUUUUGGAAGCCAAGCCAUCUGAUUCCAAUAUUCACAAGGAUCCAGCCAAUGACUCCCAAAACCCCUACUCCAUUUCCUUUAGUGGAUGUAGAAACUCAUAUGUAUGCAUCCCUCCCCCCAAAAAAGAGAAAAGGAUUUGAUUUUUAUCAACACACAGUAAGUGACAACUCUGAGAUUAAUAUUUGAAUAAGUCUCUGGUUCUUUCCACUAAACUAUGAUUAUUUUAUUUUGAAGACAAAUAGGGAAAUUUUUUAGCAUAGCAGGACUUCUUAACACAAAAGUAAUGGGUUAAGCUAAAAUAUUCAGUAGUUGCAAAAUGUGCAUUAAUAUUUAACAAGGAAAAUUGUGCCUUUGGCAUUCAUUCAUGACCUUUGACAGGAACAUCAAGUACAAAUGCUUUGCCCCCUCACACCCUAACCUCUUAAUAGACAAAGUGUUGAUCGGCUAGUUAGCAAGACUAGUACACAAGUCAUUCUCACAGCUUUAGAGAAAAAAUACUCAAAUCGCACAGAGAGAGAGAGAGAGAGAGAGAGAGAGAGAGAGAGAGAGAGAGAGAGAGGUGGGGCAAUAGGGUUAGCAGAACACCAGGCCCAGCAACAAGCCCUAAAUCUAUAAAAUGGCGAUCUUUCAUUGGACUAUGGCUAUGAGGUUUCUCUAGGGAAAGAAAAGAAAAUAUAAAAUAUAGAGCCCAGUGUGUCUUGAAGGACAAGGCUUUCCUUAAGACAUGUACCCAUGCUUACUGUGUACACUUGGACAAUAUCUCUCCUCUGACUUCUGAGAACGGCAAGAGUCAAGGUUACUCUCCAACUCUCCACUUUCUCUAUAUUAACUUUCUUACAAAUUGUAAUUUCUCCCUCCUCAUAUUCAAAUGGACAAUGGAAUUACAGAAGAUUUGCAUACCCAGAAGAAUCUAAUAACUAUAACAGAUUAAGCAAAACGGGGUGCUUUCAUCUAUAGAUUUGGCAUGCGACUGUGGAAAACGUCAAGUGCAAAGACUUUGGCUUCUCCUCAGUCAUAUCACAGGGUAAGCACUCCUAGCUUCCAUCACUUGCAAGUCUACAGCAUGUCAGGAUCCUUUGUUAAAUCACUUAACCCAAAGCACAUUGCUGGAGGUGUUCCCCAGAAUCUCUCCAGCCAACAUGAUGAAUCCCCACGGUUCCCCCACCUAAGAAUUGUUUUCAAUAAACUGGAGCCACAUGACUGAAAAAAAAAUAAGCUUGCUACCUGGAGAUGACAUCCAUCAUUCAUAACACGACAAGAGAGCUUCUGCAUGGAGAAUACAACUGGACGAAAAGAAAGAGCUCCUGCUCAACAACAGAUGUACCUAAGCAUCUGCAUCCCCGCACAGCCUUUCCCAAUUAAGUGUGCCUCCAGAGACUCAGAAAAAACCUCAAUCAACAUUCCUUCAGCAAGGCCAAAUCCCCGCCAAAGAGCGACAAGCAGUCACUGGCCAGAGCUAGAUCUCCAACUCUGCUUUUCUCAUCAACUACACCUGUGCCUGAGCCCUUGCCCUCUCCCCAGUGAUGGGAACCAGAGAAGGAACACACAGGACUCAAGGACAUUGGUGCUCUCUCACCCUUGCUAGUCAAUCCCUUGGAAUCUUUUCACUUAAAAAUUCAUUUAUUAAACUCUGUGGACCAGACUCUAUGACAACCCUUUCACUUAUAAAAACCUAAGUGAAGUUACCAUC